UGUUAUAUUAUUAUCACAAUAUAUUCUGUUUUUUUAACCAUUAUUCUUUCAUCCAAUGUUUAACUUUUUCUUUUUUUAUCAUUCUUUUUUUCUUAACAAAUUACCUUUCUAUUUUUGUUGCCCAAAUUUAGUUACAAAUGCAACAACAAAAACUGUUACAUGUUCAUAGUCCUACCAGGACUACUUUUUUAAAAAUAUAUCUAUUUCAUUGUAUAAUCCUACACUGACAUAUUCUUUUCAAUCAUUAAAUAAGAAGGUUCUCGCUGUUGCAUUAUUGCUAUUACUGAAUUGUUAAACCUAGAUAAUGGGUGGUCUUAUAUCACUUAUGAUUUGGGAUACUGAUGUCAUAUCUCUAAUUGACAAGUUCGCAAAUGACUUGAAGGAGGAAUUACUUCAGGUAUAUAUAAUACAUAGAUUUCAUCAUUUAUGUUAGCUAUUAAAUUUAUUACUAACACAUAUAUUAUUCCUAGAAUACUGGCAAUGAUGAUGACCCUUCUUAUCCAAUGGAACUGAAUAAUAAUCUUCAGAGAAAAUUCAUUUUUAAGGUGAUUGUCAAGAAAUAUUCAAAACCAUGAUGAGGUGUACAGUGUUGUUAAAAUUCUAGAUGAUGAAGAUUUGAUCAAGAAAUAUUCUCCUAAUGAAUCUGAUACCUCCCGUGACCAUCACUUUACCAAUUAUGAAGAAUCAUAUGCUGAGAAGGACUACAAGGAAUCCACCAAAGACAGUGACAUGUUAACUUCUUUGAAGACGUAUGCAAAGAGUAAUAGAUCUUCCAAGAAGGAUAAAUCUAUCAUAGUUGAUGAAAAUUUUCAUGGUCAACUCUCAAGCAACAAGAUUCACAAAGGCGCUAAAAAGAAAAACAAAUCAUCAUCAGCGGCCUCUAAAUGAAUUAUCUUACAUUGUUUUUGUAGUAUAAUACUUUAUAUUAAUCUAGCAGUUUGUUAGGGUUAGUGACAUAUAUCAUAAGUUAUUUAUAUCCUGUUAAGGUGAUACAUUUCACACC